rnacentral:rRNA from 1 species
CGCGUAGGCGGCCUGUUAAGUCGAACGUGAAAUCCCCGGGCUCAACCCGGGAACUGCGUCCGAUACUGGCAGGCUUGAAUUCGGGAGAGGGAUGCGGAAUUCCAGGUGUAGCGGUGAAAUGCGUAGAUAUCUGGAGGAACACCGGUGGCGAAGGCGGCAUCCUGGACCGAGAUUGACGCUGAGGCGCGAAAGCCAGGGGAGCAAACG